rnacentral:lncRNA from 1 species
UUAUAUCUGGUAAAAAGAACACAAGCCAUUGGAAAUCUCAAAGAAACAUUAAAAACCACUAUUUUUUGACACUAAAUCAUAUAGCACAGCAUUGAAAUCUCACCAAAUUAUAAAACGCAAUUUUGCAAUCUGUUGGAACAUUCCAACUCCUACGCUGGAACAUUUCAACCCCAAGCGCUGCCGCACUCAAGAUCGUCAAGUUCAUAGACAAAUCCUUCUACAACCCACAUGCCAUCUAUUACAAAGGUCCCAAGAUAAAAGGGGUACAGAGUACAAAUUCUAUGAACCAGAAGACCUGUUACUGUGCUUC